ACAUGAUGAUACGCCAGCUGGCACCAGUCAUAGAGUGAUUUUGUACUCCCAUCUUUGAUGACCAAAACGCUCGGUCUUAAGACCAUCUCUGAU
rnacentral:snoRNA from 1 species